UACGUAGGGCGCGAGCGUUGUCCGGAAUUAUUGGGCGUAAAGAGCGCGUAGGCGGUCCGGUAAGUCGGUUGUGAAAGUCGGGGGCUCAACCCUCGGAUGCCGAUCGAUACUGUCGGGCUAGAGUCCGGAAGAGGCGAGUGGAAUUCCUGGUGUAGCGGUGAAAUGCGCAGAUAUCAGGAGGAACACCAAUGGCGAAGGCAGCUCGCUGGGACGGUACUGACGCUGAGGAGCGAAAGCGUGGGGAGCGAACAGG
rnacentral:rRNA from 1 species